GAAUGUCGCGUCGCUUCCUUAGCAACCAAAAUGGCAAGUGGCAACAGCUCGCCGUCGAGAAAUAUACUUACUUGGCUGAUUUUAGCUAUGAAAGAAACCAGAUAAACGCCACAUUUGAUGGGCAAACAAUUGCUAGAUACUUGUAAAAAAAAGUUAUUAGCAGGUUUUGCAAAGAAGGGGCAUGCAGGUUUCUUAGUUGUAGCGUUUUGCGAAAGUUGUGGUGACAUUAUUUUAUGUGCUGCUAACGUUACCCCCUCUAACUAACGUUGGCUGACUUCGACCAGUUCUUGAAACGGUUACAAAGUUACAUUUGUUUAAAUAGCGCAAUCACUAGUAUGUAGAGGUAAACAUUUCUUUACAUUCUUCAACAUGGAAACUCAGAAGUCUUUGCAUAAUAAGAAGCUGCCCAAGAUCCCUGACAGUCCAAACCGCCUCCUACCACAACUUCCACAGAUCCGCUCCAAACCCCAGUGGCAGGAGACAGCUCCUGCCUUUGUCCUGCAGCCGCCAGUCAGAGGAGAGUCCCAUGGCUUUGGGGCGGCAGUUAGACUGUCCAGUAAGUUAUGUUCUCACUGAUAUAGGCUAGUAGCAAAUAGGACAUAG
rnacentral:lncRNA from 1 species